NNAGUACUCCCUCCGUCCCAAAAUUCUUGUCUUAGAUUUGUCUAGAUACGGAUGUAUCAAGUCACAUUUUAGUAUUAGAUACAUCCGUAUCUAGACAAAUCUAAGACAAGAAAUUUGGGACAGAGGGAGUAGUUG
rnacentral:pre_miRNA from 1 species